rnacentral:rRNA from 1 species
AUACGUAGGGGGCAAGCGUUAAUCGGAAUUACUGGGCGUAAAGGGCGCGUAGGCGGUUUAGCAAGUCAGAAGUGAAAUUCCCGGGCUUAACCUGGGCGCUGCUUCUGAAACUGCUUUACUUGAGUGCUGGAGAGGAUAGUGGAAUUCCUAGUGUAGCGGUAAAAUGCGCAGAUAUUAGGAGGAACACCGGUGGCGAAGACGGAUUUCUGGACACUAACAGUGGCGGAGAUGCGAAAACGUGGGGAGAAAAAAGAAUAAUAGACCCUGUUGUUCCACGCCGUAAACGAUGAAUACUAGGUGUAGGGGGUAUCGACUCCCUCUGUGCCGCAGUUAACACAAUAAGUUUUCCGCCUGGGGAGUACGGCCGCAAGGUCGAAACUCAAAUGAAUUGGCGGGG